CCUACGGGAGGCAGCAGUGAGGAAUAUUGGUCAAUGGACGAGAGGCUGAACCAGCCAAGUAGCGUGAGGGAAGACGGCCCUACGGGUUGUAAACCUCUUUUGUAGGGGAGUAAAGCGAGUCACGUGUGACUCAUUGAGUGUACUUGAAGAAUAAGCAUCGGCUAACUCCGUGCCAGCAGCCGCGGUAAUACGGAGGAUGCGAGCGUUAUCCGGAUUUAUUGGGUUUAAAGGGAGCGCAGGCGGAGGUGUAAGUCAGCGGUAAAAUUGCGGGGCUCAACCCUGUAGUGCCGUUGACACUGGAUGUCUUGAGUGCACGAGAAGUAGGCGGAAUGCGUGGUGUAGCGGUGAAAUGCAUAGAUAUCACGCAGAACCCCGAUUGCGAAGGCAGCUUACCGGCGCGCAACUGACGCUCAUGCACGAAAGCGUGGGUAUCGAACAGGAUUAGAUACCCGAGUAGUC
rnacentral:rRNA from 1 species